ACCUGGGUGGCUCAGUCGGUUGAGUGUCUGACUUCGGCUCAGGUCAUGAUCUCACAGUUUGUGAGUUCAAGCCCCACAUCAGGCU
rnacentral:tRNA from 1 species